CAGUUUGGAUGUGCACCAUUGCACUUCUUUUAUUAUUUGCUAGGGAGAGUGUCCAGUGACUCAUGACACUGGACUAGCAGGGGCAUUCCUUAGAUUCUUGUUGUUAGACAAGGAUAUCUGCAGAAGUUUGAUUCCGAAGUGUAGAAGACUUCUGUUAGAAUCAUGUCCAUGUGAAUUUACACUUAUGCUGAAUGAAAUGAUGAGUUAUUAUUCUGACUGUCAUUACCAUACAGAGGCCGUUUGAUUUUGAUGACACUCAAUUAAAGAAACAAGAAACCUCAGCCCUCGUGUACAUGUUAAUGUUUGGUCAUCGGCGCGGAACCUUUCACAAGAACAUUUGAUUAUAUGUCCAGCAUCGUAGUCAGCACGCCACAUGAGAUGAGCUGACAGCCGAAACUGGUUUAGCGCUCAAGACGUACGGAGGUUUCCCCGGCGGCAGUUAGCAGGCCAGCGCCAGGGAAUCAACGAUCAGUGAUUUAAUUAAUUAGAAAAUAUAUAUAUUUCAGGAUCCAGGGGCUAUAGAUAAUGGUACCAAUAAUUCCAAACAGGAUUUUGUUAUUUUUUUCACUUCGUUUAUAUUAUCGCUAUGUAUUUUAACACGAUGUGCGUUUACUAUUGAGUAUAUUGAGUCACCUGAAAUAACACCCGGAACAUUUCUCUGUUUAGGCAACAGGGGGCCUAAACAUGGAACAAAAAAGUCACGCAACUAGUUUGCACUUGAUGUUCGUAGUCGGCGUGUAGGCCUAAAACUUUAUUUUAACAUAUAUAUAGCUUCCUUUUUUUUUCAUUCUAAACUCCCAAGUUAUCCCCUCUACAACAAACAUCAUGUCGCUAUCGGUCCGCCAAUAUACGAUCUUCUCGGAUAUUUUCAAAUAAAUGUGGCAUUUUGGUAGGCACGGCAAAAUUGAAAAAAAAAGUAUGCACAAGAAAUUGUAAAUAAUUUCAUAUACUCACUUUUGCGUUAUCCUUUUUGGUUAUAUAUAAAUGCCCCGUUAUAUUGAAUUUUAACCUCCUUCACUCCUUCUGCCAAAAUAUUCCAAGUCAACAAAUUUCCUCAUUUUUUUUUCGCCCGGCAAGCUCAUCAAUCAUCUCUCUCACUAAACCUUUCUUUCUUCACUCUAAUCCUCUCAAACAAUCCUCACUCUAAUCCUCUGCGAAAAGUUGCGCCCUCCAUGUCAAUCGUGCCCCACUGACAUCAAGAUGUGUCUUGCCGCAUCUCGCACAUAAUGCAUAAACUUUUAUGCAUGAUUUUAUAUAUUCAUGAACUUUCACUUUAUGCUGUAUUUUUAUGUUGUUUCUCAAUUUUCCUCCUUCGCGUUAUUGCUUUAUUCCGUAAUUGUUAAACUCUAUAUAGGGCAUUUUAUUAUGUCCAACAUUUUUGCGUAUCUUUUCUACUCUUCCAUCGUCACCCUAUCAUAAAUGGAUUUUGUCAAUGUUAGCUUAUUUUUAUUUUCCUCAAGAAAGAGCAAGACGGACUUUUAAUGGGACAGAUGUAUAUUCCAAAGGUGAUUAGCUACAAAUACGGAAUAAAGGAAAAACAUAUGUUAAAACGCAAUUUGAUUUUUUUGAUGGGCAAAUUGAUUAAGGUGUUAGUAUAGUGACAAACUUCACUAAAUACGGGAUAAAGCUUAAAGAGAAAACGGAAAACUUGGUGAGCAUAGGGACGAAUCAACCGAGAUUCUAAUAAUUACUAUUGACCGGAGGGCGGGAAAAGUGGUGUUCUGGGUUUGAAAUGUCUGUCUGGGCGGGGGGUAGAGCGAAGGAAAAGUAUAUAAGGCAACAAAAAUGGGAGGCAUAUUCGGGUGAGAGUAUAAAAUCUUCAACAAAAUACGUAAAAACCGAUAUAGUAAAGUUGAAACGCAAUAAUAGAUUUUUUUUUUUUGGGGGGGGGGGGGGCAUAAUUAUUUAGGUGCUAAUAAAGAGUGACAAUUAAGCUUCACCAAAAUACGGAAUAAAGUAAUUAAGAAAAGUUUGUGGGCAUAAAGUACUAAUGAAUGAUCGAGCCAAGAUUCUUAAUUCUCUAUUGCUUUAGUCCGUAUCAAUUUGAUGCAGUAUAGAGUGACUGCAUAAAAAAUAUACAGAAUAAAGCAAUACAGAAAUGUUGGCAUAUUAAGGUGCUGGUAUAAAGUGACAAACUUAUCAAAAUACGGAAUAAAGCGAUAUAGAAAAUUUUGAACACAAUUUAAUUUUCUGUGGGUAUAUUAAGGUGCUAGUAUAGAGUGACAAACUUCAUAAAUAUACGGAAUAAAGCAAUAUAGAAAAGUUGGUGGGCAUAUUAAGUUGCUAGUAUACAUGGAGGCCCAAAUUUCUUGAAAUAUGGAAUAAAGCAAGAGAGAAAUGUUCUCAUUUCAUUGAUUCCUCAAAAAUUGAAUAUGUUAUUUUUAUACAAUUGUUUUACUAGUGAUGAUUCUGAUUUUAAUGUUAUUGAUAUCGAAUUCAUUCACUAUUUGUAUAGAACCUAAGUUACACUUUUAUCUUUUUGUAUAUAUUGUUAUUUCAUUUUAACAGGACCAUGUUUAAAAACAGUGAAUCUGAGCUUGUUAUCCUGUAUAAAGAUAUUUAAAUAAAUAAAUAAAUUUGUUAUAUUUGUUUAUAGUCUUCAUUCUUUAUGGUGUAUAUUGCUUUUAUUACGUGUCUCUGUGUCUUUUUUUUUCUUGUUUUCAUCUGUUCAUGAUUUUAUUUAUUCAUGAACUUUCACUUUAUGCUGUAUUUUUAUGUUGUUUCUCAAUUUUCCUCCUUCGCAAUAUUGCUUUAUUCCGUAAUUGUUAAACUCUAUAUAGGGCAUUUUAUUAUGUCCAACAUUUUUGCGUAUCUUUUCUACUCUUCCAUCGUCACCCUAUCAUAAAUGGAUUUUGUCAAUGUUAGCUUAUUUUUAUUUUCCUCAAGAAAGAGCAAGACGAACUUUUAAUGGUACAGAUGUAUAUUUCAAAGGUGAGUAGCUGCAAAUAUAAGGAAAAACACAUGUUAAAACGCAAUUUGAUUUUUUUGAUGGGCAAAUUGAUUAAGGUGCUAGUAUAGUGACAAACUUCACUAAAUAUGGGAUAAAGCUUAUAGAGAAAACUUGGUGAGCAUAGCGACGAAUCAACCGAGAUUUUAAUAAUUACUAUUGACCGGAGGGCGGGAAAAGUGGUACGGUGUUCUGGGUUUGAAAUGUCUGGCUGGGCGGGGGGUAGAGCGAAGGAAAAGUAUAUAAGGCAACACAAAUGGGAGGCAUAUUCGGGUGUUAGUAUAAAAUCUUCAACAAAAUACGUAAAAACCGAUAGAGUAAAGUUGAAACGCAAUAAUAUAUUUUUUUUUUUGGGGGGGGGGGCAUAAUUAUUUAGGUGCUAAUAAAGAGUGACAAUUAAGCUUCACCAAAAUACGGAAUAAAGUAAUAAAGAAAAGUUUGUGGGCAUAAAGUACUAAGUGAUGAUCGAGCCAAGAUUCUUAAUUCUCUAUUGCUUUAGUCCGUAUCAAUUUGAUGCAGUAUAGAGUGACUGCAUAAAAAAUAAAUAAAGCAAUACAGAAAUGUUGGCAUAUUAAGGUGCUGGUAUAAAGUGACACACUUAUCAAAAUACGGAAUAAAGCGAUAUAGAAAAUUUUGAACACAAUUUAAUAUUCUGUGGGUAUAUUAAGGUGCUAGUAUAGAGUGACAAACUUCAUAAAUAUACGGAAUAAAGCAAUAUAGAAAAGUUGGGCAUAUUAAGUUGCUAGUAUACAUGGAGGCCCAAAUUUCUUGAAAUAUGGAAUAAAGCAAGAGAGAAAUGUUCUCAUUUCAUUGAUUCCUCAAAAAUUGAAUAUGUUAUUUUUAUACAAUUGUUUUACUAGUGAUGAUUCUGAUUUUAAUGUUAUUGAUAUCGAAUUCAUUCACUAUUUGUAUAGAACCUAAGUUAAACUUUUAUCUUUUUGUAUAUAUUGUUAUUCCAUUUUAACAGGACCAUGUUUAAAAACAGUGAAUCUGAGCUUGUUAUCCUGUAUAAAGAUAUUUAAAUAAAUAAAUAAAUUUGUUACGUUUGUUUAUAGUCUUCAUUCUUUAUGGUGUAUAUUGCUUUAUUACGUGUCUCUGUGUUUUUUUUCUUUUUUUCAUCUGUUCAUGAUUUUAUUUAUUCAUGAACUUUCACUUUAUGCUGUAUUUUUAUGUUGUUUCUUAAUUUUCCUCCUUCGCAAUAUUGCUUUAUUCCGUAAUUGUUAAACUCUAUAUAGGGCAUCUUAUUAUGUCCAACAUUUUUGCGUAUCUUUUCUACUCUUCCAUCGUCACUCUAUCAUAAAUGGAUUUUGUCAAUGUUAGCUUAUUUUUAUUUUCCUCAAGAAAGAGCAAGACGAACUUUUAAUGGUACAGAUGUAUAUUCCAAAGGUGAUUAGCUACAAAUACGGAAUAAAGGAAAAACAUAUGUUAAAACGCAAUUUGAUUUUUUUGAUGGGCAAAUUGAUUAAGGUGCUAGUAUAGUGACAAACUUCACUAAAUACGGGAUAAAGCUUAUAGAGAAAACUUGGUGAGCAUAACGACGAAUCAACCGAGAUUCUAAUAAUUACUAUUGACCGGAGGGCGGGAAAAGUGGUGUUCUGGGUUUGAAAUGUCUGGCUGGGCGGGGGGUAGAGCGAAGGAAAAGUAAGGCAACAAAAAUGGGAGGCAUAUUAGGGUGUUAGUAUAAAAACUUCAACAAAAUACGUAAAAACCGAUAUAGUAAAGUUGAAACGCAAUAAUAGAUUUUUUUUUUUUUUUUUGGGGGGGGGGGCAUAAUUAUUAAGGUGCUAAUAAAGAGUGACAAGCAACCAAAAAAUUACUUUUUUUCUUUCCAGGGCUCUUUUUGGAGAAACUUAGAAAUUUUCCAGGGCUACUUUUUCAUUUUCCAGGGCUCUUUUUCCACUUUCCAGGGCUACAAUUUCUGGAGCUAUUUCGCGUCUUUUUUGCGUUUGUGUGUGUGUGUGUGUGUGUGUAUAUAUAUACACACGGUAGCUAGCAUAUACCAGGGAAGUAUAACACUUCCCUGGUUUGACCUUCGCAUUGUUUCUUCGAAGUGAUUGUUUAUGAUUUUAGUGUUGUGAUGAUAGAUUGAUUUUGAUGCUUGAACGAUAUCUGAGUUGAUUCAUGGACCUAAUACAGACCUAUUCAGAUUAAAUCAUGGAGGUAGAACCUCCAUGAAUUAAUCCAAGUUUGAAUGUUUGAUACUUGGUUGACGUGAGCUUUGCGUGUUUACUAUUUAGUGUUAUAGCCCAUUUGCCAAAUUAAUCUAGAAAGAUCUGUAUUCGUGUCUAAAGACAAUGUAAAAGAAAAAGAAAGUUCUGAAUUUGUACAAUUCUGAGGUAAUUUAUUUUAUCAUACAAUAUAGGUACCUGCAAAUGUUAUGAAGUUGAACAAAUAUCCUUCGUACAUAUUUGACUGAAAGUUAUUUAAAUGACACUUUUUAAAAAAGACUUACAAUUAUUCAUAUAAAAUAAUGAUAUAAGUCAUAAAGGUCAUUGAAUUGUUAAGCGUUCGUAUCAGUUACACAGAUUCAUGACAAAAAGGCCUACCAGAACCAAAACUGGCAAUUUCCAUCAUCCAUCAUGAAUGCCUAGCCUUGCACGGCCUCUAAUUGAAAUGAACUUAUCCACGUCUUUGCAAAUUUUACCUGACCUAAUUUCUCCACACAGUGAGAGAGGCCAUGUGGCAGCCAAACCAAAACAGAAUGAAAAGGGCGGCAAUCUCGUACCCCCCCCCCCCACCACCACCACAAGAAUAUCAGAUUUCCAAACAUGUGCUUCUCAAGAUUGUGCAAUACAUGACGGAGACAAAGAAAGUUAUGUAAACAAAUUGCCGAGGGUUAUGUCCCUGAAUUAAGGGGCUAGUCUACGUUUUCAGUCACUUAAGAAAAUGGCGAACUGGCCAAAGGUGAAACAUCAUUGAAAAAAAAAAUGAAUGUUUGGAUUAAAAUAACGAAGAUUAAAUGAAAUAUGACUGAAAAAUAUCCAUAGUUAAAUCUCUACUUUUAUUACUGACAGAACAAUAACAUCAUUUUUUUUAUUAACUUCUUGCCAAUAUUCCAAUAAGGCAAGACUCCAAUUUAAGACUAGCAAGCAAACGUUAUCAAUGGGAUUUUGGAAUGAAAGAAAAAAAAAUCAAAGCGUGAUUUUUUUUUAAGGGAUAGACGAGACUCUUGUUUUGAACAGAGAUAUAAAAAUAUUUAAAAACAAACAAGAGGUGAUAAACACUUCAUUAAAAUUAUAAUGAAGUUCGUAGUGAAUUACAACUUGUAAAAGGAGAAAUUAACAAGAAUAAUGGGGAAAUAAAGUUUGGAAGAAAAGAAGGAAUGAGGAGAGACAAGCUUUGGGGGGAAGGAUCAAGAUGGGUGGCUGCAGCUCGACAUGCAUGGGGCUAGAGAGUGUACAUAAAUGGGAGGGGGGGGGAGCAAUCAUCUAUCAAGUCGCCCAAAAUCUUACACCUUCACCAAACUUCUCACACAAUCCACACACAAAUCCCAGUUCAUGAUACAAUCACAAGUGUCGCUCAACACAUGCGCACGUGGUCUCUACUGGCAUUUUACAGUCACACACACAGAAAUACACACUACACACAAUGCAUCCCCAUACCACAUGCAGUCACACUGAGCCUAAAGCACACAAGCAGAGAAACGUUCUGCUCCUAGCUCCAAGUAUAUGACUCCUCGGCUCCAAAUUCUACAUUUAUUUUAUCUCAGUGCUUGGAGUCGGCGCUGGGGCCGAUUUUCGUCCAUGAAUGAGAGAGCAUGGCAAAGACUCGAGUCCCUUUAUCUCAGAACCGCCGCCGCUUGGUACUCGAGUCUCCAGA